UAGGGAUUCUUCGGUAAUGGGGGCGACCCUUACCGAGCGACGCCGCGUGAGUGAAGAAGGUUUUCGGAUCGUAAAACUCUGUUGUAAGAGAUGAACUUGUGUGAGAGUGGAAAUUUCANACAGUGACGGUAUCUUGCCAGAAAGGGACGGCUAACUACGUGUCAG
rnacentral:rRNA from 1 species